rnacentral:rRNA from 1 species
AUACGGAGGAUGCGAGCGUUAUCCGGAUUUAUUGGGUUUAAAGGGAGCGUAGGCGGGAGCUUAAGUCAGCGGUUAAAUGGUGCGGCUCAACCGUGCCCUGCCGUUGAAACUGGGUUUCUUGAGAGUGCAAGAGGCGGAUGGCAUUCAUGGUGUAGCGGUGAAAUGCUUAGAUAUCAUGAAGAACUCCGAUUGCGAAGGCAGUCCGCUGGGGCACGUCUGACGCUGAUGCUCGAAGGUGCGGGAAUCAAACAGGAUUAGAUACCCUGGUAGUCCGCACGGGAAACGAUGAUUACCCGCUGUCGGCGGCAGACAGUCGGCGGCCAAGCGAAAGCGAUAAGUAAUCCACCUGGGGAGUACGCCGGCAACGGUGAAACUCAAAUGAAUUGACGGGG